AAGUAUUAGAGUGAUCUGGCUACAACAUCUGUCACCUCAUAGAUUACUUAGCUAGGCAAGCGUCCCCUUCCUCCCUUGCUGUCCCAUAUAUGUCCUACCCAAACCUGCACACUCACUCUAAGGGGACAACUUUCACCAAUAGAGGAGGAUUACUCUUUGGUCAAGGGCAUAGAGUAGUUGUGCUACCCUGUUUGAACCACCAAACAAGUUCUUGAAACUUCAAGACUUUAAAUGACAAAUAUACCUCUAU
rnacentral:snRNA from 1 species